rnacentral:tRNA from 2 species
GCGGCGGUUCCCUAGCCUGGUAGGGGGCAGGCCUGCUAAGCCUGUGGCCCAUCGGGCCUCGAGGGUUCAAAUCCCUCCCGCCGCG